AUGCAGUCGACGAGACGCCAAUACAUCGGGAGGGGAUGUUAGUGGCGGAUGGGUGAGUAACGCGUAGGAACCUGUCACCGAGUGGGGGAUAACGCUGGGAAACCGGCGCUAAUACCGCAUAGGGUCAGCAAUGAUCAAAGGAGCAAUCCGCUGGGUGAGGGGCCUGCGUCCGAUUAGCUGGUUGGUGGGGUAAUGGCCUACCAAGGCAUCGAUCGGUAGCUGGUCUGAGAGGAUGGUCAGCCACACUGGGACUGAGACACGGCCCAGACUCCUACGGGAGGCAGCAGUUAGGAAAUUUUCACAAUGGGGGAAACCCUGAUGGAGUAACGCCGCGUGGAGGAUGACGGCCUUCGGGUUGUAAACUCCUUUUCUGGGGGAAGAGCAGAAGACGGUACCCCAGGAAGAAGCCUCGGCUAACUACGUGCCAGCAGCCGCGGUAAUACGUAGGAGGCGAGCGUUGUCCGGAAUUACUGGGCGUAAAGAGCGCGUAGGCGGUUCUGUACGACAGGUGUGAAAGCCCCCGGCUCAACUGGGGAGGGUCAUCUGUAACGGCAGGAAUGAUGAGUGCAGGAGAGGGACGUGGAACUCCGGGAGUAGCGGUGAAAUGCGUAGAGACCCGGAGGAACACCAGUGGCGAAGGCGGCGUCCUGGCCUGCGACUGACGCUGAGGCGCGAAAGCUAGGGGAGCAAACGGGAUUAGAUACCCCGGUAGUCCUAGCCGUAAACGAUGGACACUAGGUGUGCGCGGUAUCGACCCCGCGCGUGCCGGAGCUAACGCAGGAAGUGUCCCGCCUGGGGAGUACGAUCGCAAGAUUAAAACUCAAAGGAAUUGACUGGGACCCGCACAAGCAGCGGAGCGUGUGGUUUAAUUCGACGCAACGCGCA
rnacentral:rRNA from 1 species